rnacentral:lncRNA from 10 species
AUCUGUAUAUAUAUAUAUGUGUGUAUAUAUAUAUAUGAGGAGUUUAUUAAGUAUUAACUUACAUGAUCACAAGGUCCCACCAUAGGCUGUCUGCAGGCUGAGGAGCAAGGAGAGCCAAUCCAAGUUCCAAAACUGAAGAACUUGGAGUCCAACGUUUAAGGUCAGGAAGCAUCCAGCACGAGAGAAAGAUGUAGGCUAGGAGGCUAGGCCAGUCUCUCUUUUCACAUAUUUCUGUCUGCUUAUGUUCUAGCCACGCUAGCAGCUGAUUAGACUGUGCCUGCCCAGAUUGAGGGUGGGUCUGCCUUUCCCAGCUCACUGACUCAAAUGUUAAUCUCCUUUGGGAACACCCUCACAGACACACCCAGGAUCACUACUUUGUAUCCUUCAAUCCAAUCAAGUUGAUGCUCAGUAUUAACCAUCACACAUGUCCACCAGUGCCAUGUCAAUUUAUCGUUGCUAUGGCAACACCCAGAAGUUACCACUCCUUUCCAUGGCAAUGACCAGGAAUUUACCACCCUUUUUCUAGAAAUGUCUGAAUAACCUGCCCCUUAAUCUGUAUGUAAUGAAAAGUGGGUAUAAAUAUGACUGCAGAACUGCCCCUGCUACUCUGGGCACCCUGCCAAUGGGGUGGCCCUGCCCUGGAAGGAGCAGUCCCUCUGCUGCUGCUGUGCACAGCCGCUUCAGUAGGAGUUGCUAACACCACUGGCUCAUCUCUGAAGUUUUUCCUGGGCAAAGCCAAGAACCCUCCCAGGCUAAGCCCCAGUUUGGGGGUUCACCUGCCCUGCAUCAAAACCAAGAAGAAACUAAUGAGGUAUUACCCAUUCACAUGUAAUGUCUUGUCACUUUUAUUUUUAAAAGAAUGCAAAAUUACAAAAUGUAAAUAUGCAUUUAUUCCAAGUGCUGGAUUCCUAUGUGUUGUUAUGUUCUGGAUACUUGCCUUCAUUUUUCCAGUUACCGAAAUAAUAUUUUUAAAAGCGAAUCUGAAGAUGUGUGGACAUUUUGACGCAUGUGAAAUUGCUGAUGAGGCUGCCUUUUUGACAUAGCUAAAGGAGGCUGGAUCCAAGACAGUGUGGAAUGAAAACCAAAUGCAAAUUGGCUAGAAGGAAGGGCCAGAAUAAACACAAACUGAAGACCCCAAACCAACGGUGUCCAAGCUUGUGCAUGUAUCUGCGCUGUCCCCAUGGGGCCUUCCAACUCUGCUCAAAGCAAUCUCCAGGGCUGUUCUCCAAGGACAAUGGGUGAGUUAGAGAGAAGAUCUCUUUGUGCUUCCUUCUUUGCUUUUUAAAUUUAAGGUGGACAUGAUCUCAGGGCUUUGUACAGAAAACCUCUGAGGGUCAGUUGAGUGACCCACUUACCCUGCCAUUCCCCACCCUGCUGGGGUCCUCCUGCUACUUCAACUCCAUCACCACAGAGACUCAAUUCCUGCGCUCUGAGGUUCAAAUCUGCAUCUGCUGAAGAAUCUUCCAGAACUGCAACUCCCAUCUGCACUGGGAGCAUGUCUGGCCCACACCAGCUCAAGCACUGUGUGAAGGGUCCCAGUUAUUCAGUGUGAAAUUGUGUAAGACUUUCUCCUGGAGACAGGACCUUUGCAAUCACAGCUUGGGGAAUUGUCUUUACAAUAACCACUUCCUCUUAGGGAGUCAGCAGCCUGGGCUCAAAUCCUGCUUGGUCACUAAGAUAGUUUUGUGACUCUAGACAAGUCACAGCACCCCUCUUAGCCUACAUUUCUUCAUCCAUUCAACAAAUAUUCACAUAGCAGCUACCGGCACCAGGAAUAGAGAGGGGAGCAUGAUUGAUAAAUCAUCUUAGAAUUUAUGAUUGCAUUAUGGGAGUUACUCAGUAAAUGAGUUUUUAAAAAUCAGGGGGAGGGGGAAAACCUUUGAAGAACAAUUUGGCAAGAUCUAGAAAAGCUGAAAUUUGACUUCUCUUUGACCCAGUAAGUCUACUCUUAGGUAUAUACCCUAGAGAAAUUCUUAAACAUUCCCACAGGACAAAGAAUGAAUGUAAAAGAAUUUAAAUGACAACUCAUAAGAAAAUGAAAAAUGUGCGAUAUGUUCGUACAAUGGUAUAGAGCAGUAAAAAUGAAUGACCUAGAGCUGCACAUUUCAACAUGGACUAUCUCAUAAGCAUAACUGAAGAAUGUUGCAGAAAAAUAUGUAAAGUUUAAUGCCAUCUGUGUAGAGUUAAAAUGGACAAAUAUUAGAUACUAUUUAGUGGCAAGAGUAUUUUUUACAUGCAUGGGCAUUAAUAAGACCAAAUUAGAUUAGUGCUUUCUUCUGUGGAGGGAGGAAAGAGGAUGGAACUGGGGAGUAAUACAUAGGCGGUAUUAACUGUAUUGAUAAUGUUUUGUAUCUUAACCUACAUUGUGGUUACAUAGUUUUCAUUAUAAUAUUCUUAGGAUUUUGUGUCUAUAUUUUAAAUGUUGCCCUAUAAAAAUUUUAAAAUUUAUUAAAUAAUGAUAAGUGCUCUGAAGAAAAUAAACAUCUGAAGUGAUUGAGAGUGACUGGGGUUUGGUUGGGGGUACUGGAGAUUGGGUGGUCAAGGAAAGUUUCUCAGCAGAGGUACUGGGUUGAGCUGAAUCAUGACUGACAUGAAGGGAGCAGCCAUAACAGUAUCUAGGGGAGGAGCAUUGCAGGUGGAGAGAACAUCUAAUGCCAAGGGUCGUGAAUUGUAAAGGACCUAAGAUUUUACCCUCCUCGCAAGAUAGCAAGGUAGCCUGACUUAGUAGUGUGGAUGCUGACAGAAGACACAAGACUACUGGGUCAGAGCAAGAUAUGUUAUUAUUCACAGCAG